rnacentral:rRNA from 1 species
UACGGAGGGAGCUAGCGUUGUUCGGAAUUACUGGGCGUAAAGCGCACGUAGGCGGCUUUGUAAGUUAGAGGUGAAAGCCCGGGGCUCAACCCCGGAAUUGCCUUUAAGACUGCAUCGCUUGAAUCCGGGAGAGGUGAGUGGAAUUCCGAGUGUAGAGGUGAAAUUCGUAGAUAUUCGGAAGAACACCAGUGGCGAAGGCGGCUCACUGGACCGGUAUUGAC